rnacentral:rRNA from 1 species
UACGUAGGGGGCAAGCGUUGUCCGGAUUCAUUGGGCGUAAAGAGCGUGUAGGCGGCCAGGUAGGUCUGCUGUGAAAACUCGAGGCUCAACCUCGAGAUGUCGGCGGAAACCAUCUGGCUAGAGUCCGGAAGAGGAGAGUGGAAUUCCUGGUGUAGCGGUGAAAUGCGCAGAUAUCAGGAAGAACACCCGUGGCGAAGGCGGCUCUCUGGGACGGUACUGACGCUGAGACGCGAAAGCGUGGGGAGCGAACAGG